GACUUAGGGGGUUCGGGUAGGGCUCCCCACUCCUGCCGUGAGAUAGCCCUGGGCACCGGCCUGCGGGACCAGAUAAAGGCUGCGAAGGAGCCUAGUCACUGGCCGCAGGCGUGGCUCCCCGGCCCGAUUCCACCUCGAAGUGUCGCCUGCCUGCCCGGGGUUGCGGCCGCACGGAGCUGCGGUGCCUCUGUCGGCCUGACCCCUUCUCUCCCGCAGCCUGGAGGAGGGACGUCUGACGCUGAGUUGCCAUGGCAUCCUACUACGAGAUUCUAGACGUACCGCGGAGUGCGUCCCCUGAUGACAUCAAGAAGGCGUAAGUGCCUCGGCUGUGUUACAGAAAGGCUCUGACCCUUGUUCCCCGCCCCCCUGAGUGCCAGGGGCCCUUUAGAGGUCUGGCUGAAGGGAGGAAGGAGACCCUUGGGAAAGUACGAAGACCAAGUCCAGCCAGGGAAGAAGAGCUGACCUUCUUUAGCGUCCUCUAUACACCCAGCUCCCCUCUCCUCCAGCUCCUACAUGUGGGCUUGCCCAGGUUGCAGUGCUAAAAUGCCCAGGCUAUGAGACAGGACAGUGUCUCCACUCUCCCUGUGGCUAUAGAUAGCUCUAUCAAAAGAACCCCAAGAAAGGGCUUAUGGCAGGGACUUUCCUUUUUACUCAUAUCCCUGGCACACCACAGGGAGAGAAACCCCUGAAUACAGGCUGCAGUCGUGAGGUAUUCUGGGAUCGGGGCAGUGAAAGGGUGUUGGACUAAGCAAAAAGGGUAGUCGGUGGGCAAAGCCUACAUCAGUCUCCUGACCCUCCCUCUGCACUCACUUCCUGCAGGUACCGAAAGAAGGCUCUGCAGUGGCACCCAGACAAGAACCCGGAUAAUAAAGAAUUUGCUGAAAAAAAAUUUAAGGAGGUGGCAGAGGCCUAUGAAGUACUAUCUGACAGUAAGGCUUGGGGUCCUGCAGGGACCGGCAUGUCCCCCUGCUUCCAUUCAUUCUUGGUACUCCUUCCUAAAGCCACGCCUCCAUCCCGUCUCCUCCAUGAUUUUAUUUUAGAUAGUGUUUAAUCGCCUCCAUGUUAUGUCUGUCUAGCAGGGUCUGAAGAGCAAUUUGGGUCCUGAUCGGGGAAGGUCAUAGCUUUCCUGCCAGGCCAGCUUAUCACCCCCAUUUUGUAGGCUAGUAAACUGAGGCUGAGAGAGAUGAAAUAAUUUGCCCAUUUCUUGAGCCAGAAUAUGAAUCCAGGUCUGAUGGGUGAUUUUUUUUUUUCCUCUGUGCUUGAGUAUGCCUAGGGCAUUGCACAUGCUAAAGCAAGUUUUCUACUGUCAAGCCAUGAUUCCAGACCCAGGUCAUUCACUCAUUCAUUUAUUCAUUCAUUUAGAAAACAGUCUGACUAGACAUGGCUAUAAUUCCAGCACUCAGGAGGUAAGGUAAUGCAGGAGGAUUUUAAGGUCAAAGGUCCUGUUUCAAUAAGUAAACAAACUUCAAAACAACAACCACUAGUUGAGGCUGUAACUUUGUCAGUAGAGUGCUUUGGUAACAUACACAAGGCCCUAUGUAUGAUCCCUAGCCCCGCAUAAACUUGGCGUGGUGGCGCAUGCCUGUAAUCCUAGCGACACAAGAUGGAGGCAGGAGGAUCGAAAGUUCAAGGUCUUCCUUGGCCACAUAUCAAACUCAUGACCAUCCUGGGCUACAUGAAUAGUAUCUUUUUUUUUUUUUUUUGAGACAGGGUUUCUCCGUAUAGUCCUGGCUAUCCUGGAGCUCACUUUGUAGACCAGGUUGGCCUCGAACUCAGAAAUCUGCCUGCCUCUGUCUCCCAAGUGCUGGGAUUAAAGGCGUGCGCCACCACGCCCGGCUAACAGUAUCUUUUAAAAUGUAUUUCUGAGAUGAUGUGGGUGGUGGUUCACACUUGUCACCUCAGCACUGAGGAGGCUGAGGUAAGGUGAUUGCAGAGAGGUUGAAGACAGCCUGGAUACAGGAUGAGACCCUGUCUCAAAACACCAAAACCAAACCCCACAAAUGAUCCCAGAAAAUAUCUCCUAAAAUUACUGUGCCAGGUAUUUCCGGGUACUAGGGAGACAGUGGAGGGCAAGCAGGCCCCGUCCUCGUCCCGUGGUCUAUCGUAUUCUGGUUAGGGAAGACCGACAGGAGUCAGGUAUGUGCAGAGGCAGGUUACACACCGAGAAGAGGAUUCCAAAGGAGAACUGCUGUACCAGGGAAGGGUGGCGCAUGCUCUUGUUGUGGUCCUAGCUAGUCUCUGUGGAAGUGGCUUGGUUAGGAUAAGCCUAUUAAUAAGAAUAUGGUAUAAUUAGCUGACAUUUAUUUACUUGUUUCUGUGGAGCUGAGUGUUGAGCCCAGGGUCUUGUUCCUGUUAGACAGGGUCUCUGCUACUAAGCUCUCCCUCAGCCCCUAGCUUAUGUUUAUUGCCUUAUGUGUUAGGCAGACACCGUGCUAGGCAGGUUGGUGAGUUAUCUCCUUUAAAUUCUCUCAGUGGCUCAGAGUGGGUGCUAUGAGCAUGUCUGUCAUAGAGAUGAGCCAGCUGCUGAAACCAUGCCCCCCUGGAUACCCUGCCGUCUCCCAAGUUUCAUUUUCUGACACUCGUCCUAGCCCAAGAGGGGCGAUAACUUUCCUAAAGGGAGGAAUGACCAGGUCUCUUCUUCUAGAGCACAAACGGGAGAUCUAUGACCGCUAUGGCCGGGAAGGGCUGACCGGGGCAGGUAGGUGGAGUGGUGGGGUUCCAGGAUGGAAGUGGGUCAGGGAGGGAGGGGCAGGCAAAUUCUGGCAAAGCAUGCUCUUUCUAAGGUUCCUGGCCAUGCCUUAGGUGGGAUGCCCUGGCUCAGGGCUGUAUGUACACACUAAGUCGUCCCCUCCUCAUCCUGACUCUCCUCCAGGAAGUGGUCCUUCUCGAUCGGAAACUGGUGGUGCGGGGCCUGGCUUCACAUUCACCUUCCGUAGCCCCGAGGAAGUCUUCCGGGAGUUCUUCGGGAGCGGAGACCCUUUUUCAGAGCUCUUUGGUACGUAGACGCAGGGUUGCUCCACUCCCUCUUCCAGCCUGCUGUCUGUCCUCUGUGGGGAAUCUCUCAGGCUAGAGCCGGAGACGGAAUUGGAAUUUCACAGCCGGGAGAUUUGAGGUUGUAGGCGUGAGUCCAGGGAAAGCUAGGACAGAACCUGACACAUGGCAGGACUCACGUGACACACCAGUGACACUUCACAGACUGGCCUUAUUAAAUGACAACAAGAACACAUUGUUAAGCCUCCACAACAGCCACCAGUGGAGCAAGACUCAAAAGCAUCAUGUGACUGCUGCAGCGCCAUUACACAUAACAACAGACACCUUUUUUUGUUGUGGUUUGAUGACUAACAUAUGCCAAGAGUUCUACAUCUCCUAAAGCCUCUUGUAAAUCCUGAGAGCUGAGCCAUUUUAAUCCCCAUUUCCAGAUGAGAAGACGGAAGCAUGUUAGUUAGCUUAGAUGCGCACAAGUAAUUGGCACAGCUGGGUGGCUAGGAAGGCGCUCUGUGGUAGGGGCUUGUCCAGCAUGUGCAGGGCACUGAUUUCAGUCCCCGGCACCACAAAUCAAAACGUGAAGGCAAAUCUGUUGAUUAAAAGACUCCUUCGACAAGCAUGGUUUGCACAUGCCUGUAAAGAACUCACCACUGAGCACUGGCCACGGUGGUGCACACUUUUAAUCCCUGCGCUCAGGAGGCAGAGGCACUCUUGAGUUCAGGGCUAGCCUGCUCUACCUAGCAAUUUUCAGGCCAGCCAGACCUAUGCAGUGAGAACCUGUCUCAAAACCCCAAAAGAACUUUAAACUUGGGAGAUGGAGGCCCAAGAUCAGGGCUUCAGGGUCAUCUUUAUCUAUUAAGUUUGAGGCUAGCCUGAGCUACUGAUACUGAGACGCUUUUUCC
rnacentral:lncRNA from 1 species